rnacentral:rRNA from 1 species
CCUUGGAGCGAUGAAGGGACGCGGCGUGGUAGGUCAGCCUCUUAACGGAUUGAGGUGCCAAACGCGUAGGACGUUGAAGGGUGUAGGUAAGUCCGCACCCCGAGUCCGAAACGUGAUGGCGGUGCCUUAGAGCCACAAGUGAUUGAGCCAUGCCGCCUAGAAAAGCUUCUAAGCGUUGAUAUUUGAGUGACCGUACCGCAAACCGACACUGGUAGGUGGGUAGAAUAUACCAAGGGGAGCGAGAGAACCCUCGUUAAGGAAUUAGGCAAAUUUCCCCCGUACGUUCGCAAUAAGGGGGGCCUCUGGUGGUGAGCUUAAUCGCAAAGCUGCUGGAGGCCGCAGAGAAAUGGCUCUUCCAACUGUUUAACAAAAACACAGGUCUCUGCUAAGUCGAAAGACGAAGUAUAGGGGCUGACGCCUGCCCAGUGCUGGAAGGUUAAGGGGAGAGGUUAGGCGCAAGCCGAAGCUUUGAGCCGAAGCCCCAGUGAACGGCGGCCGUAACGAUAACGGUCCUAAGGUAGCGAAAUUCCUUGUCGGGUAAGAUCCGACCCGCACGAAUGGCGUAAUGAGAGGGGCACUGUCUCAACGAGGGACUCGGCGAACAUUGAAGGACGUGUGAAGAUACACGUGACCCGCAGCGGGACAAAAAGACCCCGUGAAGCUUUACUACAACUUGCCAUUGAGUUAGGGCUAAACCUGUGUAGUAUAGGUGGGAGGCUUUGAAGCUGGGACGCCAGUCUCGGUGGAGCCACCGUUGAAAUACCACCCUGGUUUAUUCUUGGCUCUAACCUGUCGCCGUUAUCCGGCAUGGGAACAGUGGCUGGUGGGUAGUUUGACUGGGGCGGUCGCCUCCGAAAGCGUAACAGAGGCGCCCAAAGGUUCCCUCAGGCUGAAUGGAAACCAGCCGUUGAGUGUAAAGGCACAAGGGAGCUUGACUGCAAGACCAACAAGUCGCGCAGGGACGAAAGUCGGGCUUAGUGAUCCCACGGUUCAGAGUGGAAUGGCCGUGGCUUACCGGAUAAAAGCUACUCCGGGGAUAACAGGGUAGUCUGGUCCAAGAGUUCAUAUCGACGACCAGGUUCGCCACCUCGAUGUCGGCUCAUCACAUCCUGGGGCUUGAUAAGGUCCCAAGGGUUGGGCUGUUCGCCCAUUAAAGUGGUACGUGAGCUGGGUUCAGACCGUCGUGAGACAGGUCGGUCUCUAUCCGCUGUGGGCGUAAGGGAUUUGAGAGAAGCUGCCCCUAGCACGAGAGGACCGGGGUGGACGGACCUCUAGUGUGCCAGUUGUUCUGCCAAGAGCAUUGCUGGGUAGCUACGUCCGGCAGAGAUGACCGCUGAAAGCAUCUAAGUGGGAAACUCGUCUCAAGAUUAGAUCCCUCAU